rnacentral:lncRNA from 1 species
UAUAAAAACCUCGAGGGGUUCAAGUACAUACAAAAUGUCUACAACAUCGCUCGCUCCAGCGAGUACCCAGACAACAACCAUAUAUACAUAAAUACUCCAAAACUACCUGUGGGAGGUACUCCUCUAGCACUGCAACCCGUCUGGAAGGGAUCUAGCUCGCAACUCCCUUUCCACGAUCAGUAUCAGGGACAGCAGCAGCCGCAGAAGAUGGCUCUGCAAAAAGGGGUCAACAACUGGGUGUGAAAACUAUUGCAAAAAGAAGUAGUCCUUAGUGGGUACCGCUACCGACCUCAAUGGCUCACCCACUAAGUCUAUAGAAAGUAUGCAGGAAGAUAAUAAAGGAAAGCUGGAAACCCUACAGCUAUAUGCCCCUAUACUAUCACUAACCAACUCUAGCUAUCUGUAGAUAUGCAUCCCCUGCAACAACGACUAUACUGCCAAGGAACUGCCAACAGGCCCGUCCCGCCUGCGUCCGAGCUAUACCGUGAAAGAUAUGAAUCCCUAGGAUCUAAAAGGUAAAAGACACCUAGAGGGGGGUGAAUAGGUGUAAACGGCAACAAUCUCAAAACUCGAUGCAAAUUUAAAAUAGAAUACGAAAAAAUAAAAUCAGCACACCGAGAAUUAACGUGGGAAAACUCCAAACCGGAGAGAAAAACCCACGGGACCGACCACACAAAGAAAUCCACUAAGAAAACAUGAGUACAAGUGAUUUAUCAAAAAUACAAGACUCGAAAUACCGAAUUCUCGUUGUAGAAUAUCUUUGCCAGUCCUCGAUCGCUUGAAAUCCUCCAACCGAUCACACUGCAAAUCCUUGCAGCCACACACGCCUCGAUUCCACGAAACGCCCACCGAAUCCACGGUCUUCACGCGAGAUCCACGCGCUAACGCUCCAUCCGAAGCUCGUAGA